UUAAAAAAAAAAAAAAAAGCAGUUUUUAAGGUGGUACCAUUUUUUAUAUUUCAUGUUGUGGAGUUUUUCUUCAUUUGCAUAUUUGCCCAUUAUUUU
rnacentral:ribozyme from 14 species